UUCAAAUUUAUUAUUUGGCACAGAGAAAAAACAAAAAAACAAAAAAAAAUCAAAAUUAUAUUAUUUCAUUAAUGUAUUUAUAUUCCUUUUUUUUUUUUAAAUUUUUAAUCCAGUCUCAGAUGAAUUUUAAGUAUUGAGGUUGUCUUUAUAUGUUUACUAGUGUAUAUAAUACAUAUACACAUAUAAAAACCUCAAUUAUAUAAAUGUUGAUCGAACAAAAGCACAUGCUAUUACUUAACUAUAUGGAAUGUACUACUAAAUCUCUAAUCAAUUACUAAUACAUAGAAUCUUAACAUUAUCGAUAAGAUAUUUUAUACGUCCUUAAAACACAGUUAAAAGAAUUUAUAGUUUUAUAGAAUCAAUAAUAUUAAAACUGCGAGCACCAUAGAUCUACAAUAAAUCAUUCGUUGUAGAACUUCAGCGCUUCGUGUAAAAAAUAUGUGUUAAAGAUUCGCGUGUUUCAAACAUAAAAAUCUCUUGGUCGAUGAAUGUUAAUUUUCUUCAUAUGUGAUAUAAUUAUAAUUGCAGCCUGAAAUAAAACUUUCAAAAAAUACACGGACAAUAGAUAUGUAGCCAAAUAUGGUCAUUAAAAUGUAGAUACAUCAUGUACUUUGGUAAUUAUAUCUUUAAAUAUCAUGCCUCGUUUGUACUUGGAUCACUGCAUCACAGUAAUGCAGUAAAACUGAUGAGGUUUACGAUUCUUUGAGCUUUUUUUCGCAAUUAUUAUAAACUUAAAAAAGGAACUUUAAAAUUUUACAUUAAAAAUCGUACAAAUAAGUACACAAAAGUUUAAAACUCAAUUAAUUAUAUAAACAAAAAAAAUAGAAGACAUUAAAAACAUUUCUACAAAGUGCAAAAAACCUCUUAAAAAGUUAAAUGAUAACUUAUUUUAUCGCCAAUAUCGAAUUUCAUUAAUUACUAUUUAAUAUUAAUAAUUAAAUAUGCAAGAUUUACUAGAAAGUGUCAUAAUAUAACUUAAAUUUUAUUUUUAUAUCUAAAUACUUUUCAAGAAAUACUUUUUUGGUACAAAACUCGCAUUAAAGAAAUAAAUAAUAAUAAUUAAUAUUAUA